UAGGGAAUAUUAGUAAUGGGCGAAAGCCUGAACUAGCAACGCCGCGUGUGCGAAGAAGGCCUUCGGGUUGUAAAGCACUUUUUGAGAGGAUGAGGACGGCCGGUACUCUCAGAAUAAGUUUCGGCUAACUACGUGCCAGCAGCCGCGGUAACACGUAGGAGGCAAACGUUAUUCGGAUUUACUGGUCGUAAAGCGCGUGUAGGUGGUUUGGUAAGUAGGGCGUGAAAGCUCCUGGCUCAACUGGGAGAGGCCGUUCUAAACUGCCGAACUAGAGGAUGGUAGAGGGAGGUGGAAGUCCGGGUGUAGCGGUGGAAUGCGCAGAUAUCCGGAGGAACACCAGUGGCGAAAGCGGCCUCCUGGACCAUUCCUGACACUCAGACGCGAAAGCUAGGGUAGCAAACGG
rnacentral:rRNA from 1 species